rnacentral:rRNA from 1 species
UACACUCCUGCGGGAGGCAGCAGUGGGGAAUAUUGGACAAUGGGCGCAAGCCUGAUCCAGCCAUGCCGCGUGAGUGAUGAAGGCCCUAGGGUUGUAAAGCUCUUUCACCGGAGAAGAUAAUGACGGUAUCCGGAGAAGAAGCCCCGGCUAACUUCGUGCCAGCAGCCGCGGUAAUACGAAGGGGGCUAGCGUUGUUCGGAAUUACUGGGCGUAAAGCGCACGUAGGCGGAUCGAUCAGUCAGGGGUGAAAUCCCAGGGCUCAACCCUGGAACUGCCUUUGAUACUGUCGAUCUGGAGUAUGGAAGAGGUGAGUGGAAUUCCGAGUGUAGAGGUGAAAUUCGUAGAUAUUCGGAGGAACACCAGUGGCGAAGGCGGCUCACUGGUCCAUUACUGACGCUGAGGUGCGAAAGCGUGGGGAGCAAACAGGAUUAGAAACCCCUGUAGUCCCAUGA